UUACGACCAUGUCAAGUUCAAACACCGAUUCUCAUAAAAUCAUCGAAGUUAAGCAACGUCGACCCUGGUCAGUAGAUAGAUGGAUGACUGCUUGGGAAUACCUGGUGGUGUAAG